rnacentral:rRNA from 1 species
AUUGAACGCUGGCGGCAGGCCUAACACAUGCAAGUCGAACGAGUGGCGGACGGGUGAGUAAUGUCUGGGAAACUGCCCGAUGGAGGGGGAUAGCUACUGGAAACGGUAGCUAAUACCGCAUACCAUCGGAUGUGCCCAAGUGGGAUUAGCGAGGGGGUGGGGUAACGGCUGACCAAGGCGACGAUCCCUAGCUGGUCUGAGAGGAGGACCAGCCACACUGGAACGUAGACACGGUCCAGACUCCGACGGGAGGCAGCAGUGGGGAAUAUGGCACAAUGGGCAAAAGCCUGAUGCAGCCAUGCCGCGUGUAUGAAGAAGGCCUUCGGGUUGUAAAGUACUUUCAGUGAGGAGGCGUUACUCGCAGAAGAAGCACCGGCUAACUCCGUGCCAGCAGCCGCGGUAAUUC